rnacentral:rRNA from 1 species
CCUACGGGUGACAGCAGUGGGGGAUAUUGCACAAUGGGGGGAACCCUGAUGCAGCGACGCCGCGUGGGUGAAGAAGCGCCUCGGCGCGUAAAGCCCUGUCAGCAGGGAAGAAAAUGACGGUACCUGAAGAAGAAGCCCCGGCUAACUACGUGCCAGCAGCCGCGGGAAUACGUAGGGGGCAAGAGUUAUCCGGAUUUACUGGGUGGAAAGGGGGCGCAGACGGCGAUGCAAGCCAGGAGUGAAAGCCCGGGGCCCAACCCCGGGACUGCUCUUGGAACUGCGUGGCUGGAGUGCAGGAGGGGCAGGCGGAAUUCCUGGUGUAGCGGUGAAAUGCGUAGAUAUCAGGAGGAACACCGGUGGCGAAGGCGGCCUGCUGGACUGCAACUGACGUUGAGGCCCGAAGGCCAGGGGAGCGAAAGGGAUUAGAUACCCGAGUAGUC